rnacentral:misc_RNA from 1 species
AAGUCGUAACAAGGUUUCCGUAGGUGAACCUGCGGAAGGAUCAUUAUCCUAUCGCAAAGUGUUGCAAAACACUUUAAUUUAAAAACAUACAGCUUUAAUCUAAUUAAAGUUGUAUCAAAUCCAUAUUUGCUUUAAUAUGGUCAGGUACCUAGCUAUGCUUAUGCAUCGUAAGCGACAUUGCUUUUUGUCGUGAGGUUUAAAGAUUAUUCAACUUAGUGAAUAACGCCUGCUUUGCAUUUAAAUUUACAUUCAAACAUUUAUUUAUCACUAUUUUUUAUCAGUGUAUUUUUAUGAUUUUGAAAUCUAAUUUCAAAUUCAAAAAACACAAAUAUAACCCUAUGCGGUGGAUCACUUGGCUC